CUGAACCAGCCAAGUAGCGUGAAGGAUGACUGCCCUAUGGGUUGUAAACUUCUUUUAUACGGGAAUAAAGUGAGCCACGUGUGGCUUUUUGUAUGUACCGUAUGAAUAAGGAUCGGCUAACUCCGUGCCAGCAGCCGCGGUAAUACGGAGGAUGCGAGCGUUAUCCGGAUUUAUUGGGUUUAAAGGGAGCGUAGGCGGGUUGUUAAGUCAGUUGUGAAAGUUUGCGG
rnacentral:rRNA from 1 species